AACACGUGAGCAACCUGCCCCUGACUCUGGGAUAAGCGCUGGAAACGGCGUCUAAUACUGGAUAUGUGACGUGACCGCAUGGUCUGCGUCUGGAAAGAAUUUCGGUUGGGGAUGGGCUCGCGGCCUAUCAGCUUGUUGGUGAGGUAAUGGCUCACCAAGGCGUCNACGGGUAGCCGGCCUGAGAGGGUGACCGGCCACACUGGGACUGAGACACGGCCCAGACUCCUACGGGAGGCAGCAGUGGGGAAUAUUGCACAAUGGGCGCAAGCCUGAUGCAGCAACGCCGCGUGAGGGAUGACGGCCUUCGGGUUGUAAACCUCUUUUAGCAGGGAAGAAGCGAAAGUGACGGUACCUGCAGAAAAAGCGCCGGCUAACUACGUGCCAGCAGCCGCGGUAAUACGUAGGGCGCAAGCGUUAUCCGGAAUUAUUGGGCGUAAAGAGCUCGUAGGCGGUUUGUCGCGUCUGCUGUGAAAUCCGGANGGCUCAACCUCCGGCCUGCAGUGGGUACGGGCAGACUAGAGUGCGGUAGGGGAGAUUGGAAUUCCUGGUGUAGCGGUGGAAUGCGCAGAUAUCAGGAGGAACACCGAUGGCGAAGGCAGAUCUCUGGGCCGUAACUGACGCUGAGGAGCGAAAGGGUGGGGAGCAAACAGGCUUAGAUACCCUGGUAGUCCACCCCGUAAACGUUGGGAACUAGUUGUGGGGUCCAUUCCACGGAUUCCGUGACGCAGCUAACGCAUUAAGUUCCCCGCCUGGGGAGUACGGCCGCNAAGGCUAAAANCUCAAAGGAAUUGACGGGGACCCGCACAAGCGGCGGNAGCAUGCGGAUUAAUUCGAUGCAACGCNGAAGAACCUUACCAAGGCUUGACAUAUACGAGAACGGGCCAGAAAUGGUCAACUCUUUGGACACUCGUAAACAGGUGGUGCAUGGUUGUCGUCAGCUCGUGUCGUGAGAUGUUGGGUUAAGUCCCGCAACGAGCGCAACCCUCGUUCUAUGUUGCCAGCACGUAAUGGUGGGAACUCAUGGGAUACUGCCGGGGUCAACUCGGAGGAAGGUGGGGAUGACGUCAAAUCAUCAUGCCCCUUAUGUCUUGGGCUUCACGCAUGCUACAAUGGCCGGUACAAAGGGCUGCAAUACCGCGAGGUGGAGCGAAUCCCAAAAAGCCGGUCCCAGUUCGGAUUGAGGUCUGCAACUCGACCUCAUGAAGUCGGAGUCGCUAGUAAUCGCAGAUCAGCAACGCUGCGGUGAAUACGUUCCCGGGUCUUGUACACACCGCCCGUCAA
rnacentral:rRNA from 1 species